rnacentral:rRNA from 1 species
UACGUAGGGACCGAGCGUUGUCCGGAUUCAUUGGGCGUAAAGAGCUCGUAGGCGGCUGUUCAAGUCGAACGUGAAAACUCGGAGCUCAACUCCGAGCCUGCGUUCGAUACUGGACGGCUAGAGUCUGGUAGGGGGAUCUGGAAUUCCUGGUGUAGCGGUGGAAUGCGCAGAUAUCAGGAGGAACACCGGUGGCGAAGGCGGGUCUCUGGGCCGAUACUGACGCUGAGGUGCGAAAGCGUGGGGAGCAAGCAGG